CCUACGGGAGACAGCAGUGGGGAAUAUUGGGCAAUGGGCGCAAGCCUGACCCAGCAACGCCGCGUGAAGGAAGAAGGCUUUCGGGUUGUAAACGUCGUUUAAGAGGGAAGAGCAGAAGACGGGACCUCUGGAAUAAGCCACGGCUAACGACGUGCCAGCAGCCGCGGUAAUACGUCGGUGGCAAGCGUUGUCCGGAUUUACUGGGUGUAAAGGGCGGGCAGCCGGGAAGACAAGUCAGAUGUGAAAUCCCGCGGCUCAACGUGGGAACUGCCUUUGAAACUGGCAAACUGGAGUGUGUGAGAGUCUAGUGGACUUCCCGGUGUCGCAGUGCCAUCCGUAGAUAUCUGG
rnacentral:rRNA from 1 species